rnacentral:rRNA from 1 species
UUCGAUCAUGGCUCAGAUUGAACGCUGGCGGGAUGCUUUACACAUGCAAGUCGAACGGCAGCACGGACUUCAGUCUGGUGGCGAGUGGCGAACGGGUGAGUAAUGUAUCGGAACGUGCCCUAGUAGCGGGGGAUAACUGCACGCUUGAAAGCGUAGCUAAUACCACAUACGCCCUUCGGGGGAAAGCGGGGGACCUUCGGGCCUCGCACUAUUAGAGCAGCCGAUAUCGGAUUAGCUAGUUGGUGGGGUAACGGCUCGCAAGGCGACGAUCCGUAGCUGGUUUGAGAGGACGACCAGCCACACUGGGACUGAGAGACACGGCCCAGACUCCUGCAGGAGGCAGCAGUGGGGAAUUUUGGACAAUGGGGAAACCCUGAUCAGCCAUCCCGCGUGUGCGAUGAAGGCCUUCGGGUUGUAAAGCACUUUUUGGCAGGAAAAAACGGCACGGGAUAAUACCCCGUGCAACUGACGGUACCUGCAAGAAUAAGCACCGGCUAACUACGUGCCAGCAGCAGCCGCGGUAAUACGUAGAGUGCAAGCGUUAAUCGGAAUUACUGGGCGUAAAGCGUGCGCAGGCGGUUCGGAAGAAGAUGUGAAAUCCCAGAGCUUAACUUUGGAACUGCAUUUUUUUAACUACCGAGCUAGAAAUUAUUGUCCAGAGGGAGGUGGAAUUCCGCCGAUAGUAACGUGAAAUGCGUAGAUAUGCGGAGAACACCGAUGGCGAAGGCAGCCUCCUGGGAUAACACUGACGCUCAUGCACGAAAGCGUGGGGGCAAACCCAGGAUUAGAUACCCCUGGUAGUCCACGCCCCUAAACGAUGUCAACUAGCUGUUGGGGCCUUCGGGCCUUGGUAGCGCAGCUAACGCGUGAAGUUGACCGCCUGGGAAGUACGAUCGCAAGAUUAAAACUCAAAGGAAUUGACGGGGAUCCGCACAAGCGGUGGAUGAUGUGGAUUAAUUCGAUGCAACGCGAAAAACCUUACCUACCCUUGACAUUGUCACGGAAUCCCGAAGAGAUUUGGGAGUGCUCGCAAGAGGAGCCGGAACACUGGGUGCUGCAUGGCUGUCGUCAGCUCGUGUCGUGAGAUGUUGGGUUAAGUCCGCGCAACGAGCGCAGCCCUUGUCAUUAGUUGCUACGAAAGGGCACUCUAAUGAGACUGCCGGUGACAAACCGGAGGAAGGUGAGGAUGACGUCAAGUCCUCAUGGCCCUUAUGGGUAGGGCUUCACACGUCAUACAAUGGUCGGGACAGAGGGUCGCCAACCCGCGAGGGGGAGCCAAUCCCAGAAACCCGAUCGUAGUCCGGAUCGCAGUCUGCAACUCGACUGCGUGAAGUCAGAUCGCUAGUAAUCGCGGAUCAGCAUGUCGCGGUGAAUACGUUCCCGGGUCUUGUACACACCGCCCGUCACACCAUGGGAGUGGGUUUUACCAGAAGUAGUUAGCCUAACCGUAAGGAGGGCGAUUACCACGGUAGGAUUCAUGACUGGGGUGAAGUCGUAACAAGGUAA